ACCGGCGCACGGGUGCGUAACACGUAUGCAAUCUGCCUUGUACUGGAGCAUAGCCCUCGGAAACGAAGAUUAAUACUCCAUACAGUCUUACUAGCGCAUGCUAGUAAGAUGAAAGCUCCGGCGGUACAAGAUGAGCAUGCAUCCCAUUAGCUUGUUGGUGAGAUAACAGCUCACCAAGGCUACGAUGGGUAGGGGUUCUGAGAGGAAGAUCCCCCACACUGGCACUGAGAUACGGGCCAGACUCCUACGGGAGGCAGCAGUAGGGAAUAUUGGUCAAUGGGCGCAAGCCUGAACCAGCCAUGCCGCGUGCAGGAUGAAGGCCUUCAGGGUUGUAAGCUGCUUUUGUAUGGGAAUAAAAAAGUCCUUGCGAGGACUCUUGAAGGUACCAUAAGAAUAAGCACCGGCUAACUCCGUGCCAGCAGCCGCGGUAAUACGGAGGGUGCAAGCGU
rnacentral:rRNA from 1 species